rnacentral:rRNA from 1 species
CCUACGGGUGGCAGCAGUCGGGAAUAUUGCGCAAUGGAGGAAACUCUGAUGCAGUGACGCCGCGUGUAGGAAGAAGGUUUUCGGAUUGUAAACCCCUGUCGUUAGGGAAGAUAAUAGACUGUACCUAACGCGGAAGCCCCGGCCAACUAUGUCCCAGCAGCCGCGGUAAUACAUAGGGGGCAAGCGUUCUCCGUUAUGAUUGGGUGUAAGGGAAGCGUGGACGGAAUAGCAAGUCGGUGGUGAAAGCCCUGGGCUAAACCGAGGAACUGCAAACACAACUGUGCGCCUUGAGUGUCGGAGAGGAAAGUGGAAUUCCUAGUGUAGCGGUGAAAUGCGUAGAUAUUAGGAGGAACACCAGUGGCGAAGGCGACUUUCUGGACGAUAACUGACGUUGAGGCACGAAAGUGUGGGGAGCAAACAGGAUUAGAUACCCGAGUAGUC